CUGAAUAUGGGGGGACCAUCCUCCAAGGCUAAAUACUCCUGACUGACCGAUAGUGAACCAGUACCGUGAGGGAAAGGCGAAAAGAACCCCGGCGAGGGGAGUGAAAAAGAACCUGAAACCGUGUACGUACAAGCAGUGGGAGCCCCACCACUAAGCCAGUGGUGAACUCCACAUACGCAUCCUUUGCUGAGGAUACGGUUAACGGAGCGAAAGCGACGUUCAACCGCAAAACAAGCAGAGGGGGCUUAGUGGUGGGGUGACUGCGUACCUUUUGUAUAAUGGGUCAGCGACUUAUAUUCUGUAGCAAGGUUAACCGAAUAGGGGAGCCGGAGGGAAACCGAGUCUUAAUUGGGCGUUAAGUUGCAGGGUAUAGACCCGAAACCCGGUGAUCUAGCCAUGGGCAGGUUGAAGGUUGGGUAACACUAACUGGAGGACCGAACCGACUAAUGUUGAAAAAUUAGCGGAUGACCUGUGGCUGGGGGUGAAAGGCCAAUCAAACCGGGAGAUAGCUGGUUCUCCCCGAAAGCUAUUUAGGUAGCGCCUCGUGAAUUCAUCUCCGGGGGUAGAGCACUGUUUCGGCUAGGGGGCCAUCCCGGCUUACCAACCCGAUGCAAACUGCGAAUACCGGAGAAUGUUAUCACGGGAGACACACGGCGGGUGCUAACGUCCGUCGUGAAGAGGGAAACAACCCAGACCGCCAGCUAAGGUCCCAAAGUCAUGGUUAAGUGGGAAACGAUGUGGGAAGGCCCAGACAGCCAGGAUGUUGGCUUAGAAGCAGCCAUCAUUUAAAGAAAGCGUAAUAGCUCACUGGUCGAGUCGGCCUGCGCGGAAGAUGUAACGGGGCUAAACCAUGCACCGAAGCUGCGGCAGCGAACGUAUCACUUAAAGCGAUUCAGCGGGUUACGAUUGACGGAGCGAAGCGACGUCAAAGCGUAUACAAAGUCGAGUCGGUUUAAGGAUACGUUCGUUGGGUAGGGGAGCG
rnacentral:rRNA from 1 species